AACUAACGCUGGCGGCGUGCCUAACACUUUUUUAUGCAAGUCGAACGAGAAAGUUGGCUUCGGCCGAUGAGUAAAGUGGCGCACGGGUGAGUAACGCGUGGAUAAUCUGCCCUUUAGUUUGGAAUAACGUACCGAAAGGUGCGCUAAUACCGGAUAAUACUGAAUGACUACUGUCGUUUAGUCAAAGAAGGCUUCUGUUUACAUGCUUUUGCUGAAGGAUGAGUCCGCGUACCAUUAGCUAGUUGGUAGGGUAAUGGCCUACCAAGGCGACGAUGGUUAGCUGGUCUGAGAGGAUGAUCAGCCACACUGGAACUGAGACACGGUCCAGACUCCUACGGGAGGCAGCAGUGAGGAAUAUUGCGCAAUGGGGGCAACCCUGACGCAGCAACGCCGCGUGAGUGAGGAAGGUUUUCGGACCGUAAAGCUCUGUCGAGCGGGAAGAAAUGCAUGGUGGCUAAUAUCCAUCAUGCUUGACGGUACCGCUAAAGGAAGCACC
rnacentral:rRNA from 1 species